GCUUGCUAGAAGAUGACGAGUGGCGGACGGGUGAGUAAUGCUUGGGAACUUGCCUUUGCGAGGGGGAUAACAGUUGGAAACGACUGCUAAUACCGCAUAAUGUCUUCGGACCAAACGGGGCUUAGGCUCCGGCGCAAAGAGAGGCCCAAGUGAGAUUAGCUAGUUGGUGAGGUAAAGGCUCACCAAGGCGACGAUCUCUAGCUGUUCUGAGAGGAAGAUCAGCCACACUGGGACUGAGACACGGCCCAGACUCCUACGGGAGGCAGCAGUGGGGAAUAUUGCACAAUGGGGGAAACCCUGAUGCAGCCAUGCCGCGUGUGUGAAGAAGGCCUUCGGGUUGUAAAGCACUUUCAGUUGUGAGGAAAAGUUAGUAGUUAAUACCUGCUAGCCGUGACGUUAACAACAGAAGAAGCACCGGCUAACUCCGUGCCAGCAGCCGCGGUAAUACGGAGGGUGCGAGCGUUAAUCGGAAUUACUGGGCGUAAAGCGCACGCAGGCGGUUUGUUAAGCUAGAUGUGAAAGCCCCCGGGCUCAACCUGGGGAUGGUCAUUUAGAACUGGCAGACUAGAGUCUUGGAGAA
rnacentral:rRNA from 1 species